UACGAAGGGUGCGAGCGUUAUUCGGAAUCACUGGGCGUAAAGGGUGCGUAGACGGUGCGUUAAGUUUGUCGUUAAAGACUCUAGCCUAACUGGAGGGUUGCGAUGAAAACUGGCGUGCUAGAGGGUGAGAGAGAGAAGUGGAAUUCCUGGAGUAGCGGUAAAAUGCGUGGAUCUCAGGAGGAACACCAAUGGCGAAGGCAGCUUCUUGGCUCAUUCCUGACGUUGAGGCACGAAAGCGUGGGGAGCGAACAGG
rnacentral:rRNA from 1 species